rnacentral:rRNA from 1 species
UACGAAGGGGGCUAGCGUUGCUCGGAAUCACUGGGCGUAAAGCGCACGUAGGCGGAUUGUUAAGUCAGGGGUGAAAUCCUGGAGCUCAACUCCAGAACUGCCUUUGAUACUGGCGAUCUCGAGUCCGGGAGAGGUGAGUGGAACUGCGAGUGUAGAGGUGAAAUUCGUAGAUAUUCGCAAGAACACCAGUGGCGAAGGCGGCCGACUGGUCCGGUUCUGACGCUGAGGCGCGAAAGCGUGGGGAGCAAACAGG